CCCUUAGAUGUUCUGGGCCGCACGCGCGCUACACUGAUACAUGCAACGAGUUUAUAACCUUGAUCUGACGGUCUGGGUAAUCUUCAAACUGUAUCGUGUUAGGGAUCGAUUCUUGCAAUUUUUAAUCGUAAACGAGGAAUUCCUAGUAAACGCAAGUCAUCAGCUUGCAUUGAUUACGUCCCUGCCCUUUGUACACACCGCCCGUCGACUCUACCGAUUGAAUGGUUCGGUGAAAACUUUGGACUGUGGCAUUGUCCUUCAUUGGACUUCACCGUAGGAAAUUGUUUAAACCUCAUCAUUUAGAGGAAGAAUAAGUCGUAACA
rnacentral:rRNA from 1 species